GAUGAAGAACGCAGCGAAAUGCGAUACGUAAUGUGAAUUGCAGAAUUCAGUGAAUCAUCGAAUCUUUGAACGCAUAUUGCGCCCUCUGGUAUUCCGGAGAGCAUGCUUGUUUGAGUAUCAGUAAACACCUCAACUUCCAUAUCUUUUUUGAAAUGGGAGUUGGACUUGAGUGAUCCCAACGCUUUUCCUCACCGAAAAGUGGCGGGUUACUUGAAAUGCAGGUGCAGCUGGACUUUUCUCUGAGCUAUAAGCAUAUCUAUUUAGUCUGCCUAAAAAACAGAUUAUUACCUUUGCUGCAGCUAACAUAAAGGAGAUUAGUUCUUGUGCUGACUGAUGCAGGAUUCACAAAGACAGGCUUCGGCCGACUUUGUAAACUCGAUCUCAAAUCAAGUAAGACUACCCGCUGAACUUAAGCAUAUCAAUAAGCGGAGGA
rnacentral:misc_RNA from 1 species